UACGUAGGGUGCAAGCGUUGUCCGGAAUUAUUGGGCGUAAAGAGCUCGUAGGCGGUUUGUCGCGUCUGCUGUGAAAACUCAGGGCUUAACCCUGAGCCUGCAGUGGGUACGGGCAGACUAGAGUGUGGUAGGGGAGAUCGGAAUUCCUGGUGUAGCGGUGGAAUGCGCAGAUAUCAGGAGGAACACCGGUGGCGAAGGCGGAUCGCUGGGCCAUAACUGACGCUGAGGAGCGAAAGCAUGGGGAGCGAACAGG
rnacentral:rRNA from 1 species